UGUUGUGACAUGUCUGUGUGUGUGGUCAGAAGCUCUUCCAGGUCCUAGUCAGUGUGUUAAUGCUGGUGUGAGUGUGUGCUUGUGUUAAGUUGUGUGUUAUAUUUUAUUCUGUGGAUGAUUUGGGAUCUGAGGUGAAAGCAGAGCAGAACAUCAGGAGCUUGUCUUUGUCGCACAUCAAAGCGUCUCCAUUCUCCAGCAUUGGAUCUCCAUCAGCUUCUGUGUCACUCAGAGGGCCGGCGAAGGAGGCCUUCAUCUCCACCCAGAGAUUCAACCUCUUUCUGGGCACCACCCAGUGGAGUCAUAUCCUGCUGAUGAAAAGCACCAACAGGACACGAGACACAUCCAUGUUGGAGUCCAACACUCACCUUGAACAGAAGCGAUGAUCUGACAGGAAUCUAAUAACAUUUCACUGCUUGGGUUCAGAGGCUGUUCUCCUCCACACGUCUCUACACCUCCUGAUGCCCUGAGACACGGCCCUGAGCUCCACACGUCUCUCCACCCACAAACACUUCACUGUUAGUUAAGACAAAAUCCAUAUACUUCGUCUGACCAAAGCACCACAGCAGGACGCGAGACUCGUGUAACCUCCACCUUAAAAUAAUCUGCAGGAACAAACAAACAAGAAGUAAACAUCCACCCAGAUUCUGCAGUUUAAAUAAAACCAUGUUGGUUUAUGGUGUGAAGAACAGACGCUGACGUCACCAGCCGGAGCCGGAAAUCAGCUGCUGAGGAAAAACACCAACAUUCUGAAUCACAGAAGAUCUCAACAGUAACACGGGGGUUAAAGGUCAGGUCACAGAAG